CUGACCUGAGCCGGCUCCCUCCGCGCGGCCGCCGCCAUCGACUCUGGGGGCGGAGCGGAGCCGGGAGCGGCGGGAGAGGAGGGGUCCCGGGGACAGCGGUCCCUGUCCCGGCCCUGGCGCGGGUCCCCCGGGCGGCGUCGCCGAGCCUCAGACCCGCCCCGUGCAGCGGAGACAGCGCCUCCUCUCGCGCCUCCUCGUCCCUCCCCUCAGCCCCG